rnacentral:rRNA from 1 species
CAGCAGCCGCGGUAAAACAGAGGGUGCAAGCGUUAAUCGGAAUUACUGGGCGUAAAGCGCGCGUAGGUGGUUCGCCAAGUUGGAUGUGAAAUCCCCGGGCUCAACCUGGGAACUGCAUCCAAAACUGGCGAGCUAGAGUAUGGUAGAGGGUGGUGGAAUUUCCUGUGUAGCGGUGAAAUGCGUAGAUAUAGGAAGGAACAUCAGUGGCGAAGGCGACCACCUGGACUGAUACUGACACUGAGGUGCGAAAGCGUGGGGAGCAAACAGGAUUAGAUACCCCUGUAGUCCCUGUCUCUUAUAC